rnacentral:misc_RNA from 1 species
UCAUUUCACCCAGGGAGGCAUUUUUGCCCCCAACUCUGUCUACAUCAUUCAUGCCGAGUUGGUUAUACCAAAGCACCAGCGGUGACGAGCCAUUGUUGGACAUCGAACAAUCCUUUUGUGAUAAAUGAACGAGUUUAAGAAACACAUAGUUGCGUAUUUAUCCUGGCAUACUUAAACCCGCGAAAAAAACGGUGAAUCGUUCAAGCAAAUUUAUUUUUUCAUUUUUUCAGAUUGUUUACGUAGUUGCGCAAACCCGCGCAUAGCACGGCAUUCCC